rnacentral:rRNA from 1 species
UACGAAGGGGGCUAGCGUUGCUCGGAAUCACUGGGCGUAAAGCGCACGUAGGCGGCUUUCUAAGUCAGGGGUGAAAUCCUGGAGCUCAACUCCAGAACUGCCUUUGAUACUGGAGAGCUUGAGUCCGGGAGAGGUGAGUGGAACUCCGAGUGUAGAGGUGAAAUUCGUAGAUAUUCGGAAGAACACCGGUGGCGAAGGCGGCUAUCUGGACCGACAUUGACGCUGAGGCGCGAAAGCGUGGGGAGCAAACAGG